GCUGUAUAUUGUUGGGAACUGGAACACACUGUCGUACACGUCAAUUCAGAGCAUCCCGAACAUGGGUGACAUGUCUGGGCGGGGAGGAAGAGAGCCAGUGUGACGCAGCAGAGUCUCAGCAGCAACCUCUUCAUCCUGGAAAGAACGGACCAAUCAGGACAGCCAUAUUUCAGUCCCGCCCCUCAGGUCCAGGAAGUAUGUCAGGAGGUGGAUGAGUUCAUCUAUGUGGCCAAUGCAGAGACAGGAAGAGGUAACACCAAGACUCCAACACAUUCCUCAUACUUGCUCCUAUUCCUAGGCCCUUGUUGCCAGCCAGAUAAUCUUGUCAAGCUAUCGCAACAUCAGGCUGGUUCCACCAGGCUACCUUCCAGGACCAGAUCCAGGGAAAGAUCAGGCUCGUUCCACCAGGCUACCUUCCAGGACCAAAUCCAGUGAAAGGUGGUGAGGGGGAGGCGUCUUAGAUUCAGGCAUUGGUGGACCCUGCCUAGUGUUCAUCCUCCAGAACCCUCCUUGUCCUGACUUUUGUGUCCAGAGAGGAACCAGACCCAAUCAGAACCACUAGUCCCAGUACUGCUAGAUUAAAGACCAGGACCCCCAGUGUAGAUAUUGCACAGAGGCUCUGCCUGUGCCUGCUGCCUAACCCCUGGAUUGUCUGUCUGUCUGUCUGUCUGUCUGUCUGUCUGUCUGUCUGUCUGUCUGUCUGUCUGUCUGUCUGUCUGUCUGUCUGUCUGUCUGUCUGUCUGUCUGUUUGUCUGUCUGUCUAUGGUCUAUGUAGUCUCUCUGUUUGUCUGUCUGUCUAUGGUCUAUGUAGUCUGUCUGUCUGCUGGGGUGCUCUGGUCUCAGGCUGUAGCUAUCUGUCAGAGGAUCCUGUCUGCUGGGGGGCUGUGGUCUCAGGUCUCAGGCUGUAGUUCCUUAGACAGAUAGCUAUCUUCAGCACAAAUGCUUCUGAAGGAAUGUUCUACCUCUGAUGUGCCUUGUUUCAAUGAAUCGCAAAAGAAAAAGUCAUUAUUGGGUAAAUAUUAUUUAAUAACCCUGUAGUAAUUUUUUUGUGAAUAAAUAGUGGGUUGUGAAACAAAACAGAAGUGAAGAGAACUACUGUUUAACUGUAGCUAUGGUACUUUAGUGAAGAUAAUAAAGGGUUUUGGUUAUCACAUUAUUUUCUUCUACUACUACUGCGUAGUUUAGAAGCAUUUAGAAUCAUAUUGAUGUGACAAGGAAUUAUGGGUCAAAAAAAAAAUAUACCUUUAUUUCAGCAAAUCAUGCAAUUUUUUUUCAUUUCUUUCAUAUAAGUUAUAAUUUUUUUAUACUCCAAAGUAUUAUGCUUUUUUCUUUCAUUGUUUAAAUUCAUGUUCUAAAUUACCACUGCACAAGUUGUUAUAAAGCAACUGAAAGCCUUCGGUGGGUCACAGCACAGAAACGUUGGUGAGCUGUGCGUCUGGAACAGUGAAAGGCGUUUGCUUCGUAGUCAAACAGUAGUUCACAGGCCAAACCUUUCAUUUCUUCCUUAAUCUGCACCAUGAAAAACAACAAGAAAAGAAGAAGAAAUGGACAGGUGAAACAUCUCUCCACUAGGCACCUGUAUUCCUUCUACUGUGUUUUCAGAUGAGCGCAGACUGGAAGGAGAGGAGACAGGAAGUCAUUUUAAAGUAUUGAGAUACACCCCUCUGGCUCAGGCAAUGGUACAACAUGCUACUCCAAGUUUUCUGUGGUUAUUUUCCUCUGAGGUCAGUAUUGGCACACUAAACUGAAUUCACAUCUGUCUGAUGGGGGGAGGACAAUGUUCCUAUUUACACCACAAUGGGGCAGGCCUGCUCCUGCUUCUCAGGGCCAGGGGAAGCUGUAGAAUGUAGACUAGUUGCAGCUUGGUUUACUAUGUUUUGGGCAUGGGGGUUGCGCUGUGACCCCCCCUGAAAACAAAUUAAAAUGAAAACUCAAACCACACAUUUCUAAACACAAUCAAGAAUGUACUGUAGCAACCCUGUGUUUAUAAGCACCAAUAUCAACUCUGCCACAUGAGCACACUUUUGUGGCACAGCACGCUGGGCUAUGGCCGGAAGGUUGGCGGUUUGAAUACCACCACGGACAAGCUCACUUUCCCCUGCUUGUUAUCUGUUGAUAAAGUGUGGAGGUCGUUGUCUGAUACAAUACAUUAGAGCUGGAAUCCUUAAUAGUGAAACAUCCGUUUCAGAUAUUACAACAACAAAGAAGUCAUUGCAAACAACUAACACUUUACCCCCCCAUCCCCCGCUUGGACAAUAUUGCAGAAUUUGUCCUGCAGUUUUAGCAUGCUGCUCAACACUCAUCAGCUUCGUUUUGUCUAAACCAUGUUCAAUUACAGUACUUGAAAAUUGCACCAGUCUAUUCUAUUACUUGUAAGUUCUCACUGACCAACCGGUGCUUUGGUAGGUGACCAUGAUAGAGUAGACCUUCUGCUCUGAACUAUCCAUUUUUUUUAUAAAACAUUUUUGUUUUUUUUACUUCACCUUUAUUUAACCAGGUAGGCAUGUUGC